rnacentral:rRNA from 1 species
AAAUGAAUUGACGGGAGCCCGCACAAGCAGUGGAGUAUGUGGUUUAAUUCGACGCAACGCGAAGAACCUUACCAGGACUUGACAUCCCGGGAACCCGGCGUAAUGGCCGGGGUGCCCCUUCGGGGGAAUCCGGAGACAGGUGGUGCAUGGUUGUCGUCAGCUCGUGUCGUGAGAUGUUGGGUUAAGUCCCGCAACGAGCGCAACCCUUACUGUCAGUUGCUACGCAAGAGCACUCUGACGGGACUGCCGUUGACAAAACGGAGGAAGGUGGGGAUGACGUCAAAUCAUCAUGCCCCUUACGUUCUGGGCUACACACGUACUACAAUGGCGAAAACAAAGGGGGGCGAACCCGCGAGGGGGAGCAAAUCCCAUAAAAAUCGUCCCAGUUCGGAUCGCAGGCUGCAACCCGCCUGCGUGAAGUCGGAAUUGCUAGUAAUCGCAGAUCAGCAUGCCGCGGUGAAUACGUUCCCGGGCUUUGUACACACCGCCCGU